GGAGGUGGUGCUGUUGGAUUUGCAUGCUGUGGAGGUGGUGCUGAUGGAUUUGCAUGUUGGGAGGUGGUGCUGUUGGAUUUGCAUGUUGGGAGGUGGUGCUGUUGGAUUUGCA